rnacentral:rRNA from 1 species
GGCUCAGGCUGGAACACCUCCUUAGAGUUUGAUCCUGGCUCAAGUGGGAACCGCUCCUUAAACACGUGAGUAACCUGCCCCUGACUUCGGGAUAAGCCCGGGAAACUGGGUCUAAUACCGGAUACGACCGCCGGACGCAUGUCUGGUGGUGGAAAGUUUUUUCGGUUGGGGAUGGGCUCGCGGCCUAUCAGUUUGUUGGUGAGGUAAUGGCUCACCAAGACGACGACGGGUAGCCGGCCUGAGAGGGCGACCGGCCACACUGGGACUGAGACACGGCCCAGACUCCUACGGGAGGCAGCAGUGGGGAAUAUUGCACAAUGGGGGAAACCCUGAUGCAGCGACGCAGCGUGCGGGAUGACGGCCUUCGGGUUGUAAACCGCUUUCAGCAGGGAAGAAGCGCAAGUGACGGUACCUGCAGAAGAAGUACCGGCUAACUACGUGCCAGCAGCCGCGGUAAUACGUAGGGUACGAGCGUUGUCCGGAAUUAUUGGGCGUAAAGAGCUCGUAGGUGGUUGGUCACGUCUGCUGUGGAAACGCAACGCUUAACGUUGCGCGUGCAGUGGGUACGGGCUGACUAGAGUGCAGUAGGGGAGUCUGGAAUUCCUGGUGUAGCGGUGAAAUGCGCAGAUAUCAGGAGGAACACCGGUGGCGAAGGCGGGACUCUGGGCUGUAACUGACACUGAGGAGCGAAAGCAUGGGGAGCGAACAGGAUUAGAUACCCUGGUAGUCCAUGCCGUAAACGUUUGGGCACUAGGUGUGGGGGGGGCAUUCCACGUUCUCCGCGCCGUAGCUAACGCAUUAAGUGCCCCGCCUGGGGAGUACGGUCGCAAGGCUNAAACUCAAAGGAAUUGACGGGGGCCCGCACAAGCGGCGG